rnacentral:tRNA from 1 species
AUGGAGCUAGUCCAAGCUAAGACCCCUAGUUUCGACCUAGAAAAUCAUGAUCAUCCCAUGGCUCCCUA